rnacentral:rRNA from 1 species
GACGAACGCUGGCGGCGUGCUUAACACAUGCAAGUCGAACGGAAAGGCCCUGCUUGCAGGGUGCUCGAGUGGCGAACGGGUGAGUAACACGUGGGUGAUCUGCCCCUUACUUUGGGAUAAGCCUGGGAAACUGGGUCUAAUACUGGAUAGGACCAUGCUGUAGGUGGUGUGGUGGAAAGAUUAGUUUCGGUAAGGGAUGAGCUCGCGGCCUAUCAGCUUGUUGGUGGGGUAAUGGCCUACCAAGGCGUCGACGGGUAGCCGGCCUGAGAGGGUGGACGGCCACAUUGGGACUGAGGUGCGGCCCAGACUCCUACGGGAGGCAGCAGUGGGGGAUAUUGUACAAUGGGCGCAAGCCUGAUGCAGCGACGCCGCGUGGGGGAUGACGGCCUUCGGGUUGUAAACUCCUUUCAGCCAUGACGAAGCCCUUGUGGUGACGGUAGUGGUAGAAGAAGCACCGGCUAACUACGUG